UGGGGAAUAUUGCACAAUGGGCGAAAGCCUGAUGCAGCAACGCCGCGUGAGCGAUGAAGGCCUUCGGGUCGUAAAGCUCUGUCCUCAAGGAAGAUAAUGACGGUACUUGAGGAGGAAGCCCCGGCUAACUACGUGCCAGCAGCCGCGGUAAUACGUAGGGGGCUAGCGUUAUCCGGAAUUACUGGGCGUAAAGGGUGCGUAGGUGGUUUCUUAAGUCAGAGGUGAAAGGCUACGGCUCAACCGUAGUAAGCCUUUGAAACUGGGAAACUUGAGUGCAGGAGAGGAGAGUGGAAUUCCUAGUGUAGCGGUGAAAUGCGUAGAUAUUAGGAGGAACACCAGUUGCGAAGGCGGCUCUCUGGACUGUAACUGACACUGAGGCACGAAAGCGUGGGGAGCAAAUA
rnacentral:rRNA from 1 species